rnacentral:rRNA from 1 species
UCGGGAAUUUUGGGCAAUGGGCGAAAGCCUGACCCAGCAACGCCGCGUGAAGGAUGAAGUCUUUCGGGAUGUAAACUUCGUAAAAAUAGGAAGAAUAAAUGACGGUACUAUUUGUAAGGUCCGGCUAACUACGUGCCAGCAGCCGCGGUAAUACGUAGGGACCAAGCGUUGUUCGGAUUUACUGGGCGUAAAGGGCGCGUAGGCGGCGUGGUAAGUCACUUGUGAAAUCUCCGAGCUUAACUCGGAACGGUCAAGUGAUACUGCUGUGCUAGAGUACAGAAGGGGCAAUCGGAAUUCUUGGUGUAGCGGUGAAAUGCGUAGAUAUCAAGAGGAACACCUGAGGUGAAGACGGGUUGCUGGGCUGAUACUGACGCUGAGGCGCGAAAGCUAGGGUAGCAAACGGGAUUAGAUACCCCCGUAGUCCCUGAGCGGGCUGGCAAGGCGCAU